GAUGAAGACGCAGCGAAAUGCGAUAAGUAGUGUGAAUUGCAGAAUUCAGUGAAUCAUCGAAUCUUUGAACGCACAUUGCGCCCCUUGGUAUCCCGAGGGGCAUGCCUGUUCGAGCGUCAUUUCACCACUCAAGCCUGGCUUGGUGUUGGGCGACUUCCUCUUUGGGGACGCGCCUCGAAACGCUCGGCGGCGUGGCACCGGCUUUAAGCGUAGCAGAAUCUUUCGCUUUGGAAGUCGGGGCCCCGUCUGCCGGAAGACCUGCUCGCAAGGUUGACCUCGGAUCAGGCAGGGAUACCCGCUGAACUUAAGCAUAUCAAUAAGCGGAGGA
rnacentral:misc_RNA from 1 species